GACGAACGCUGGCGGCGUGCUUAACACAUGCAAGUCGAACGGCAAGGCCCUGCUUUUGUGGGGUUCUCGAUUGGCGAACGGGUGAGUAACACGUGAGUAACCUGCCCUUGUCUUUGGGAUAACUUCAGGAAACUGGGGCUAAUACCGGACCGGAUCUCCUGCUGCAUGGUGGGCGUUGGAACGUUUCGGCUGUUGGGGAUGGAUUCGCGGCUGAUCAGCUUGUUGGUGGGGUAGUGGCUUACCAAGGCUUUGACGGGUAGCCGGCCUGAGAGCGUGACCGGGGACAAUGCGACUGAGAUACGGAGCAGACUGGAACGGGAGGCAGCAGGGGGGAAUCUUGCACAAUGGGCGGGAGUCUGAGGCGAAAGCGCCGGGUGCGUGAUGACGGCCUGUGGGUUGUGAACAGCUGCAGCCUGUGACGAAGCGUGAGUGACGGUAAUGGGUAAAGAAGCACCGGCUAACUACGUG
rnacentral:rRNA from 1 species